UACGUAGGUGGCAAGCGUUGUCCGGAAUUAUUGGGCGUAAAGCGCGCGCAGGCGGUCUCUUAAGUCUGAUGUGAAAGCCCACGGCUCAACCGUGGAGGGUCAUUGGAAACUGGGGGACUUGAGUGCAGAAGAGGAAAGUGGAAUUCCACGUGUAGCGGUGAAAUGCGUAGAGAUGUGGAGGAACACCAGUGGCGAAGGCGACUUUCUGGUCUGUAACUGACGCUGAGGCGCGAAAGCGUGGGGAGCAAACAGGAUUAGAAACCCCCGUAGUCC
rnacentral:rRNA from 1 species